UACGUAGGUGGCAAGCGUUGUCCGGAUUUACUGGGCGUAAAGGGCGCGUAGGCGGCCUUCUAAGUCGAACGUGAAAUCCCCGGGCUCAACCCGGGAACUGCGUCCGAUACUGGAAGGCUUGAAUCCGGGAGAGGGAUGUGGAAUUCCAGGUGUAGCGGUGAAAUGCGUAGAUAUCUGGAGGAACACCGGUGGCGAAGGCGGCUUCCUGGUCCAGCACCGACGUUCAGGCACGAAAGCGUGGGGAGCAAACAGG
rnacentral:rRNA from 1 species